rnacentral:rRNA from 1 species
CACGUAGGGUGCGAGCGUUGUCCGGAAUUAUUGGGCGUAAAGAGCUCGUAGGCGGUCUGUUGCGUCCGCUGUGAAAACCCCAGGGCUUAACCCUGGGCUGGCAGUGGAUACGGACAGACUAGAGGUAGGUAGGGGAGAAUGGAAUUCCCGGUGUAGCGGUGAAAUGCGCAGAUAUCGGGAGGAACACCGGUGGCGAAGGCGGUCCUCUGGAUCGUUGCUGACGCUGAGACGCGAAAGCGUGGGGAGCAAACGGG